rnacentral:rRNA from 1 species
GACGAACCGUCCGAACGUUAUUCGGUAUCACUGGGCUUAAAGAGUUCGUAGGCGGCCAAGCAGGUCAGGUGUGAAAUCCCACAGCUCAACUGUGGAACUGCGCUUGAAACCGCAUGGCUCGAGGAAGAUAGAGGUAAGCGGAACAGAUGGUGGAGCGGUGAAAUGCGUUGAUAUCAUCUGGAACACCGGUGGCGAAAGCGGCUUACUGGAUCUUUUCUGACGCUGAGGAACGAAAGCUAGGGUAGCGAACGGG